rnacentral:lncRNA from 10 species
GUGAACCAAAGGCUGGGCUUUAAAGGGAGGCAAGCAUGUCAGAAUGUACAACAAGUGGUCCUAAUGUCCUGGCUGAAAUUGCCCAGGCGUGCAACAAAGCAAGCUGGUUUUGUUCCUGAAUUAUGCAGUUAACUGAGGCUGUUUGGGCCCAGAUUUGAUGUGUGGUCUUUCAAUAAACGUUGCUGAAUGAGGGACUGAAUAUCAAUCCACAGUCAACUUUCCAAUCUGUGUGGUUACGUGGGUUACAGCAAUAAAAGGCAUACAACCCUAAUUAAGGAUGUCACAGCUUAGUGAGAGAAAAAAAAAUUAUACUUUGCCAAACCCAGAGUGAGAAAGGCUUCCUGAAGAAGGUGGAAAGCAAGCUGACUACUGAAAGGAUUGACUUUAUGUGGCAUGUGCAAAUAUGUAAGAAGGUGACUUAAAAGGUGAAACUGGAACACAGAGACAAAGAAAAGUCAACAAAGGCUCUAACAUCAACAUGACCUUGGAUAAGGUGUACAUUUCAUCAGGACAGAUGACUCGAAUGGGUAAACUUAGUCACCUCAUCAGCAGCCAUCCUGGAGAACAGAGCACUGGGCUUAAAAAUCAUUUCUUCCAACGGUCUCCAUCCUUUGUCCCUGAAAGAAAAUUCAUGCUCCCAAUCUCCAAGCACUCUGGCUAUCUUUCUUGCUAAAAAGAAAUCUGUUUGGGAUGCCAGUCAUUAACCUAAGAGAGCUAUGAUGUGUUCCUUCCAUUCUGGGCUCCUUGUGGGCUAAGCUUGAGCCACAGUAUUUGGUUUAAGGCCCUUGUCCGGGUCUAAUGGGUCACUGUCUAAUAGAAUGUAAAUCUACACUUGUUGCUUCUAUAUUCUUUCUUUCUCUUUUUUUCUUUUUUACUUUUUUAGACGGGUGCUUGCUCUGUCGCCCAGGAUAGAGUGCAGUGACGCCAUCAUAGCUCACUACAGCUUCGACCACUGGGCUCAAACAUCCUCCCACCUCAGUCUCCCAAGUAACUGGGACCACACAGGCACACAUCACGCUGCCUAGCUUGUUCCACUAUUUUGAACAGGUCCUUUUUUUCUUUUCUUUUUUUCUCCUUUAGAGAUAUAAAAGUAUAAACCAGAUACUUAGCUUCACCUCAGGUAUAACGUGGUAGAAAGACCUAAACUAGGAAUUGAAUGCCCAGUUGUCAAAGUGGCCCCACUACUAAACAACCCUGGAACUUUACACAAAUCACAAAUUUUCUGGGACCCCAGUUUCUUGUCUCUACAAUAGUGGAACCAAACAAAUGGUGUUUCAACGUUGUUUCUAGUUCCAAAAAUGCUCAUAAUCCUAAUUCUUAGUAAAUCACUUCUAUUUUUAUUCAGAGGUAACAGGGUGUGAUAUAAAAAAACACAAGCUUGGACUCAGACAGACAUGGAUUGAACCAUGUUUGACACUGAGGUUAGAACAUCUCUGAUAUGCAAUUUCCUUCCUAUAAAAUAGAGAUAGUAUUACCUAACUCACCAGGUAGUUAUGAAUAUUAAUCAGACAAUAUAUAUCAACUAUUUACCGUGGUUUGUUUACAGUAGAGCCUUAAUUUUUUUUUAAAAAAGUGCCCUAAUCAUGUUUUCAAGUUGGCACUUACUUUAGAAAUCAGCAUGAAUUUGAGGCUUUCAAAGCACCACUUGUGGUAUGUAUUAUUUCCUCAAUUGUCACAUUAAAAUUUUUCUUCUUGAUAUUUAUUUUAAUUUUCAAAUAGAAAGUUUGCUUUUCUGUUUCCUUUCUAUAAAUAUUACCCCUUACCAGAGUAGCCUCC